rnacentral:rRNA from 1 species
AUACGGAGGGUGCAAGCGUUAAUCGGAAUUACUGGGCGUAAAGCGCACGCAGGCGGUCUGUCAAGUCGGAUGUGAAAUCCCCGGGCUCAACCUGGGAACUGCAUUCGAAACUGGCAGGCUAGAGUCUUGUAGAGGGGGGUAGAAUUCCAGGUGUAGCGGUGAAAUGCGUAGAGAUCUGGAGGAAUACCGGUGGCGAAGGCGGCCCCCUGGACAAAGACUGACGCUCAGGUGCGAAAGCGUGGGGAGCAAACAGGAUUAGAUACCCUGGUAGUCCACGCUGUAAACGAUGUCGAUUUGGAGGUUGUGCCCUUGAGGCGUGGCUAACGCGUGAAGUUGACCGCCUGGGGAGUACGGCCGCAAGGUUAAA